CACCUUUUGGCUGAUUGUUCCCACCUUUCUGAACUUGGACUUGGCCUUGGCCUUUGUUAUUACCACCUUUACCAUUAUUACGCUGAUUUUGUUGGUUGUUAACAGCCUUGGGAGCACCCCACAACUCUGCAUGUUUCCCACUCUUGGCUAAUUUCUUGAUCAGAGUGGCAGCCUCUACAUUUCCAGAAACAGUCACUUUUCCUUGUUCUGAAUCUAUGUUUGUCUUAUAAACCCCUUCAAUCUUUUGCAAGAUUUUCUUUACUUUAUGCUUACAUCCAUCACAG
rnacentral:misc_RNA from 1 species